UGGGGAAUAUUGCACAAUGGGCGCAAGCCUGAUGCAGCCAUGCCGCGUGUACGAAGAAGGCCUUCGGGUUGUAAAGUACUUUCAGCGGGGAGGAAGGGAGUAAAGUUAAUACCUUUGCUCAUUGACGUUACCCGCAGAAGAAGCACCGGCUAACUCCGUGCCAGCAGCCGCGGUAAUACGGAGGGUGCAAGCGUUAAUCGGAAUUACUGGGCGUAAAGCGCACGCAGGCGGUUUGUUAAGUCAGAUGUGAAAUCCUCGGGCUCAACCUGGGAACUGCAUCUGAUACUGGCAAGCUUGAGUCUCGUAGAGGGGGGUAGAAUUCCAGGUGUAGCGGUGAAAUGCGUAGAGAUCUGGAGGAAUACCGGUGGCGAAGGCGGCCCCCUGGACGAAGACUGACGCUCAGGUGCGAAAGCGUGGGGAGCAAACAGG
rnacentral:rRNA from 1 species